AAAUUGAAGAGUUUGAUCAUGGCUCAGAUUGAACGCUGGCGGCAGGCCUAACACAUGCAAGUCGAACGGUAACAGGAAGAAGCUUGCUUCUUUGCUGACGAGUGGCGGACGGGUGAGUAAUGUCUGGGAAACUGCCUGAUGGAGGGGGGUAACUACUGGAAACGGUAGCUAAUACCGCAUAACGUCGCAAGACCAAAGAGGGGGACCUUCGGGCCUCUUGCCAUCGGAUGUGCCCAGAUGGGAUUAGCUAGUAGGUGGGGUAA
rnacentral:rRNA from 1 species